rnacentral:rRNA from 1 species
CACGUAGGGUGCAAGCGUUGUCCGGAAUCAUUGGGCGUAAAGCGCGCGUAGGUGGCUUCGUAAGUCCGUUGUGAAAGUCAAAGGCUCAACCUUUGAAUGCCGAUGGAUACUGCGAAGCUAGAGUACGGAAGAGGCGAGUGGAAUUCCUGGUGUAGCGGUGAAAUGCGCAGAUAUCAGGAGGAACACCAAUUGCGAAGGCAGCUCGCUGGGACGUGACUGACGCUGAGACGCGAAAGCGUGGGGAGCAAACAGG